rnacentral:rRNA from 1 species
AGGGCACAUGGGGGAUGUCUUGGCGUCAGAAGGCUUUGAAGGGCGUGGAAGACUGCGAAAAGCCAGGGCGAGUUGUCAAACGAGCGUUGACCCCUGGAUUCCUGAACUGAUAUAUACUGAAUACAUAAGUAUAUAUGGCCAACCUGGUGAACUGAAACAUCUAAGUAACCAGAGGAAGAGAAAGAAAAAUCGAUUCCCUCAGUAGCGGCGAGCGAACGGGGAAAAGCCUAAACCGUGGAGAUUUUCUCUGCGGGGUUGUAGGGCUAUUCACAUGGGAGUUACAAAACGAUCGACUAGCAGAACCGCAUGGAAAGGCGGACCACAGAGGGUGACAGUCCCGUAAGCGAAAGUUGUAUCGACUCCCGAGUAGUUCCUGAGUAGGUCGGGUCACGUGGAACCCUGACUGAAUCUACGGGGACCAUCCCGUAAGGCUAAAUACUCUCUGACGACCGAUAGUGAAAAGUAAGGCGACUGAAAGAUGGGAAGAACCCCGGCUAGGGGAGGAUACUGAACCUGAAACCAUGUGCCUACAAGCGGUCGGAGCACUAUUUUAAUGUGUGACGGCGUGCCUUUUGCAUAAUGAUCCGGCGAGUUACGGUCAUCGGCGCGGUUAAGAUCUUACGGAUCGAAGCCUAAGGGAAACCGAGUCUUAAUAGGGCGUUUUAUGUCGACGGUCGUAGACGCGAAACUGAGUGAUCUACCCAUGAGCAGGUUGAAGCGCGGGUUAUACCGCGUGGAGGACCGAACCCACUUGGGUUGAAAACCGAGGGGAUGACUUGUGGGGAGGAGUGAAAGUCUAAUCAAACUCAGAGAUAGCUCGUUCUCUUCGAAAUAGCUUUAGGGCUAGCCUUGAGCCACUAUGCACUGGGGGUAGAGAUACUGAAAUGAUUUGGGGCCUCUCGCGAGGUACCCUGUCAUACCAAACUCCGAAUACCAGUGUAAUUAUCUCAGGAGUCAGUCCGCGAGGGAUAAGCUUCGCGGUCGAGAGGGAAACAACCCAGACCAUCUGCUAAGGUCCCCAAACAAUACUAAGUCACUAAGGAAGUUGAAUUGCAGAGACAGCCAGGAUGUUGGCUUAGAAGCAGCCACCAUUUAAAAAGUGCGUAACAGCUUACUGGUCGAGCAGUUCUGCGCCGAUAAUGAACGGGAGUAAGUAUUGUACCGAAGCAGUGGAUUAAGAUAAUCUUCGGAUUGUCUUAGUGGUAGAAGAGCGCUGUACAUCAGUUACGAGUCGUACCGAAAGGAGCGAUGUCGGGGUGUACAGGUGAUUAUGCCGGAAUGAGUAACGAUAAAACAGGUGAGAAUCCUGUUCGCCGAAAGCCUAAGGUUUCCUCGGCAAGGCAAAUCCGCCGAGGGUUAGCCGGUCCCUUAGUCAAGGCCGAAAGGCGUAGACGAUGGGUAGCAGGUGAAUAUUCCUGCGCCGUGUACCUGGACCGAUGGAGGGACGGCAUCCAAAAAGUGAGCGUUACGGAUAGAAAUGUGCGUUGCAUGAUCGAGAUGGGAGGAUUGGCAAAUCCGCCUCCGGAAUUCAAGAGAAAUGCGGUACUUCUUAUUUUGAAGGAAGUCACUGGAAGGAUGUCCAAGAAAAUCUUCUAAGGGUUGAAGGGUACAUGACCGUACUAAAACUGACACAGGUAGGUGAGACGAGAAGUCUAAGGCGCUCGGGAGAACGCUGGUUAAGGAACUCUGCAAAAUGGCCCCGUAAGUUCGCGAUAAGGGGUGCCUGCGCAAGCAGGCCACAGUAAAUCGGCUUCUGCGACUGUUUAUCAAAAACACAGGACUCUGCUAACUCGUAAGAGGAUGUAUAGAGUCUGACGCCUGCCCGGUGCCGGUAGGUUAAGGAAGAGGGUUAGCCUUCGGGUGAAGCUCGCGACCGAAGCCCCGGUAAACGGCGGCCGUAACUAUGACGGUCCUAAGGUAGCGAAGUUCCUUGUCGGGUAAGUUCCGACCUGCAUGAAAGGCGUAACGACUGAUGCACUGUCUCAACCAGUGACCCGGUGAAAUUGUAGCCGUGGUGAAGAUGCCACGUACCCGCAGUAUGACGGAAAGACCCCGUGAACCUUUACUGUAGGCUGAUAUUGGUCUUGGACGUGUUCUGUGUAGGAUAGGUGGGAGGCUUUGAAGCAGUGACGCUAGUCAUUGUGGAGCCAACGUUGAAAUACCACCCUGGAUUCGUUUGAGUUCUAACGCUGAUUCCCGUGAAACCGGGCAGCGGACAGUUUCAGUUGGGCAGUUUGACUGGGGCGGUCUCCUCCCAAAGAGUAACGGAGGAGUUCAAAGGUACCCUCAGCCUGGUUGGCAAUCAGGCAUUGAGCGCAAAGGUAGAAGGGUGCUUGACUGCGAGACUCAUAAGUCGAGCAGAUACGAAAGUAGGACUUAGUGAUCCGGCGGUGCUGGAUGGAAAGGCCGUCGCUCAUCAGAUAAAAGGUACUCCGGGGAUAACAGGCUUAUCGCUCCCGAGCGUCCAUAGCGGCGGAGCGGUUUGGCACCUCGAUGUCGGCUCAUCACAUCCUGGGGGUG